UGCGGGACAACUUGAGGUCCUUCUUCUACCUCUUGAAUGAAGCCCAGCCAUCCACUAUGUUGCCAGCUCAAGAGCAACACCUACCAGUCCCUAUUCUGCUCGUAAUGCCCUGGCCAUCGUGCUCUCCUCCUAUGGAAACCCCAGCUUUACCCUCCCCUUCCGGACAAUCUACCUCCAGGGAGCAACUAACUGCUCUCCUCCCCUCUGGCUAUCCCUUCCACAGUUCUCCUGUUAAAUUAAUAAAAUCCACCACUUUCUCUGUCGUGUCUGCUUCAGAGUCCUAACCCGUGCCU